UGAUGGCACUGUUGUGUGUUGUUCCUGCUGGAGUUCCCGAAUAAACCUUGGAUGAAACCCCUGCAAAGAGUUGACUCCUUCCUCCUCCACCAUCAUCUGCAAGCAACUCCUGUGCAUUAGGGCUCAAAAUCAUAGCCGCUCUCCUGUACCCCAGGGCAUGGGAGAGCGUCCCCCGCUGUCCUCCAUGCUGGGGUUGGUCAGGAGUGUCUGAAUAGAUGCAAAGAGGACACAGCGACAUUUCUGAACUUCACAGUACCACUUCCACAUAUAAGACGUGUUAAAGUGAAAUGAAUAUGUCCUCUUAGCUGCCUCCUGGUAAAGCACCUGUCUUCUACAAAAAAGAGAAAAUUAUCUCUUCUGCUGGAUCAACAUAACAAAAAAGGGAAUGGAUUUUACUCUCAGAAGACAAGAGCAAAUCCACCACCUGAGAAAUUCAACACUCAAGGAGAGAUAUCUCUGGAAACAAAAGUGGGACAAACCUACCAACAGCUGUUUGAAAUGGUGGAUGGGGAGAAGUAUUUUCAAAUGUCAAGACAUCAGCAUCAGUUUCACCAUUGUGAAAUACAGCUUCAAGUUUACAAGAUUUGCCAUUCAACCACUAUUUCUUAUCUUCAGUGCAGUCUUUUAUAAUCUGUUUGUACUGGGAGGGAAUCAAAGGAAAAAAAGAACUGCAUCAGAAGGAGCCAUGGGAUAAGUUAUCCAUUACUGUCUAAAUGCUGAAAUUUCCUAAUUUAUUUCCAUUUCCGGCUGACCUGACAAGUGACCGAAAAACCUGGGAUCUGGGAGGCACUGGAAAUUUGGUGAAUGUCCUUGGGACUAAGGAGCCAGAACUUCAGAGUCCCUUUCAGGAAGGCUCUUUGGAAGUACAUAAAAGCUAUCAGUGUUUAAGGCCAAGGGUUUUGUGGGUUGAAAGGAGUCUGGAAUGCACUAACUUCUAGAAUUAUGUAAUUCCAUUAAGUGUAUCACCAGGGAGCAAGGUCACUGCAUUGCUAGGGGAUCUGGGAGGAAGAUGUGAGUAGUCUUCAUAGAUGUGAGUGCAGUAGGUCAGGAGGAUGAGCAGCAGUACUGAAAUGAAAGCAAAUUUAGUAUAUCUGUCAAUAGGUGCAAAUAUAUAAUUAUUUCAUUUUGGUGGCAGAAGGUAUGUAUCUAUCAGAGCAGUGAAGCUCUGAUAUGAGUUACACACAGAGGAGUUCAAAAACCUCCUCUGAUAUCAGUCCCCUGGUUCUAAACAUUUAAUGUGCCGGAGGAUGGGCUUGAUGAACCGUAAUGAGCUCAAUGAACAUUGCCCACCCUAUAUUCAAAACACUACUUCAGUUUCUCCAGCAUUUUCCUGCAAAGGUGCUGUCAGAUUUCUCAGUUGCUCUACUUACAUGCCAACAGUGUGGGUAAGUCUUCUGACAAAUACUGGUAGAUGGACUUCAGUAGAUACUGCCUUCUUCAGCAUCAUAGGAAGUAAAUCCCACUGCAGAGUUAAGCAACGUAAUUAAACUUUGCAGUUUUAUAGGAUUAAUUUUAAAGGCUACACAGAGUCAGGUGGGAAUUGGUAGGGCUUGAGGUCUGAAUUCCAUUACAAGUAAGCAUGUCAAAAGCACAGAUUUUACAAAAUACUCCCUCAAAAAGGGCAAUAUUUAGCUGUUACAAAACUUUCAUCAUCAUGACCUUUCUGUGCACAAACAGUGAGUGUCACACAAAUCUGGGGACAUGAUAAAGAGCACUGUCAUCCUUUUCAGCCCAUGUGUUUUAGUUUACUUCAGUUGGAAAUAAGUGUGUAAGAAGUGGAAAGCAGGGGUGGAGUCAUUCCAGCUUGAGUUUGAAUCAAGGGUUUGGAAAAAAUUCCUCAAAGCUCUUCUGCUUACAUGUACCCACUGGGAAUUCAUUUUACAGGAUAUAUCCUGGUAUUUUUUAAGUUGUGAUGUACUAAAUUAGUUUCUUCCUGGGGAAAUUGAAGUGAUAAUUGUGUACCUUGGACAUUUCUCUGAACAUAUGAAAUCGUCAAUUGUAUCUGUGAUAUGCAUUAAAAGAGUUUCUAAGUCCUGUACUAAAAAAAGGAUCUUUACUGGACAUUUCUUGCUGGCAAGAAAUUAUUUAUUUAGCUGUGUCACCUAGAGUUUCUUGCUGUUAAUUUAGGAUUUUUUAAAUGUCAUAAUCUCUCCCUUUUUGAGCAUUAAAAGACCCCAAAAACUCAAGUGUGGAACAAAAUUUCAAUAGAGUGAUGCAAAAAUAAAACUCAACGUCGUUUAUGAUAAAAACCCCAGCUCUACAUAUUACUUUUAAGCUUUCAGAGGAGGUGCAUUUCCAAAGGUGAGUUGCUUUUGUUUGACAGUCAAGUGCAAGAGGGAAUGUUUCACUUGCGACUACAAACCUAGGAGUAUUUAAAAUACCAGAAGAACCUUAACAAUUACCCACCUACUUUCUCAAAAGUAUUUUUCAUUCUUUUUAAAGCCUCUGCAUGAGAGACACCAGUGGAAGAACUUUUUCAUAAUUUUAUUUCCCUGUCCUCAAUACUUCAUCCUUCUCUAGAAUGCUCUGAAAAUACUGUUCUUAAAUGGAAGAGCACACCAAAAUUCUUCCACCAAUUUUGCUGUGUUCAAUUUUCCUCUCAUCACAGUAUUGCAAAAUUUGACAAGUACCAUUGUUCAGGACUAUGUGAUGUUCUGUGGAUAUGCCAAUAUUUAUAUGGCCAUAAAUUCCUGGAAAUAUAUUCAAGUAAUCCAUGGAGAUAGUCAUAGCUGUCAGAACAGCUUCACUGCAGCCCAAAACACCUAUGAUCACAGUGCUUCUCAUUACUGUGUAUUAUUUUUAAAGUAAUGAAAAAUGUAUUUUAAGUAGGUGGUCAGUGUUUGGAAGUGCUUAUUAAGGGAUAUUUGUUUGUGUUGUAUAUAGAUAAUGCCCUACUUUACAUUCAUGAACUUUGAUUGGAACAAUAAACCUUUGCCACAAGAAAGCAAACGUGGUGCCACUCCCACUGAUGUCAGUGAAACAGAUCUUUUGGAAUUAAAUAUGUUCUUAAAUGUUUGUUGGACACAGAACUUCCAUGAGAUUUGUACUGGGAUUGUUUAAAAAUUUAACCUAUCUGAAGAUGUUUUUUUGGGUUAUGGAAUAUUUGCUGGCCAUGCUAAAUUCUUUAAGCUCUUAGUGUCAUGUCCACUACAUUCUAUCAUGAAGUAGUCACUUCCCUGAUGCAGAAAAGGCCUAAGCAGUAAUAAAAGGCAGAGAAUGUCUUAAAUACUAAUAUGAUGGUCUUUUAUCCCUGAACCUAUGAUGAUGGCAGAUGAAAAUCAGUUAAUUCCAACUAUGAGCACUUUUAGAAAACUCUUCUCCAACAUCUGUGACAAGAAAGCAUAACAAGCACAGACAGCAUCUCAGGAUUGUUGGGCUGAAGCAGUACAUGACCACCUUGGCUGCCUCCCUGAAAAGUGUCGAGUGGAACAGAAAGGACUACAACUUUCAGCAGCCAAUGCUGCCAAAUAUUUCUAACCUGCUGCUCAUGCAAGAUGGAGAAGUGAGUCAGCUAAUUUAUCACCAUGUCACUUUCUGUGUUUCUCUGUUUCCCCUUUUGUGUUCACAUUUUUGUUCUUGGUGAAGUCUCUAGUCUUGAUAUUAUUCAAUAAAUCUGAAAUGAAGAGAUUAAAAGAAACUCCACCAAAAUGCCCCAAGCCUUAGCUAACAGCACUUUUCCUCCUCUGAAGACAGCAUGGAAGUAUUAUGUUCUGCCCUAAAUUAAUCAAUGUGUUACUUUUUUGCAAGACAAUUCAUCUUAUGUAUAUCAGAAGUUUCUGUAGCCUAACAAAAGAACAGUGAAACAUUAAGAAACUGGUUUUGUACCUCUUUCCAUGUUAAUAUUUGCUUAUACUUGGUGUAGACGAAAUUCUUAGCUGUAGUGUUCAUAGCUGAGAUGAAUGGGAAUGAUGACGGCAGAUUUGAUGAAUCCAUUGGUUCUUUGUUUAACUGAAAAUCCAGCCCUUCAAACUUAAUGUAAGCUUGAGUAUUUAAACUAUACUUUCAAUAUCUUAGAAGAGCUAUCUGACAACCUUCAACGACUGAGUCUUCUUAACCAUCACCCAAUGAUGCUCAUAGAUCAGAGUACUGCUCAUAAUAAAUUUUUUCUAAUUUAUUAGUUUUAUAAUUUAUUUUCUUGAUUUUCUUGGUGAAGGAUAUUGAUUUCUCUGUAUUGAAACAUUUUUAAAGUGUCAAUUUCAGUUAUAUUUUGGACAUAACAAAAGUGAAAGAAUUGUCUUUGUAAUGAAUUUUUGUAAUAAAUUGUAAGGAAUUUUUCUGCUGUGGCAGACAUG